GACAGCCAUACCUCCCUAAGAC
rnacentral:tRNA from 1 species